GAAGGGACACUACGGUGUUCGAGCAUCAAGGUGAAAUGUGUAGUAGGUCCUUCGAGGUGACACUGUGAUGAAAAUUAUUAGAUUCCAUAGAGCAACGCCGCGACAAUGGUCAGUAGGCUCUAUGGUGCGACACCUCAAAAGAGGUCUGAUGUCUAAGACCAUAGCUUGGCUAUAACAACCAGUACAAUCUACCAGGAUAGUAAAGACGAGGUAUUUUGUCGGGACAUUCAAAAUGGAGUGAAAGGGUGUAAGACCAUAGCUCAACUAUGACAACUAGUACAGUCCGCUGGAACAGUAAACAUGGG
rnacentral:lncRNA from 1 species